GCUGUUUGAGGAGACAGAAUAUGGCGGAGAAGAAGUGGGAACAAAACUACAAUUGUUCGAUAAUCCCAGUUUUGGAGGACAUACGGAGAAUUUCAGCGCAAGUUGUGACGACUUAACACCCUACUUUCCCAAUGGUGUUGCGUCAAUCAUAGUAGAACAAGACUCAGGACCUUGGCAAGUUUUUACUGAAGUUCG